rnacentral:rRNA from 1 species
AUGAUAGCCGAGGAGAAGCGGCUGGUGUGGGUCGUCAUGGAGGACUCCGAGAGGGAGUACAAACGUUGCGAGGAGGCGCAGUGGGUGGAUCUUGAGGAGAUGCUGGUGCUCUCAGCCGCCAGGUAUGUAUACGUGUCGGAGCUGGACGUUAAGAAGGAGAUGAAGGAGGAGGUGAUGGAGGACCGGUCGCCCACCCCGGUGUGGAACAAGGCGGUGUACGAGCAGUUGUGGUCGUGGAUGCGGCACUGCUCGACGAUGCCGAGAGUGCGCAACAAGAAGAUCAACACUGAUAGGGUGCUGCACAGGCACCGCACCAUCGCGAAUAAGACGGGGUUCGGGUCAGACAAGAGGUUGUGCAGGCCAGCCCUCCCUGAGAUGCCAGACGAGCUUGUUUUGGAGAUCCUCCUCCGUCUCCCAGUGAGAUCACUCCUCAAGUUCAAGUGUGCAUGCAAGUACUGGCACGGCACCAUCUCAGGCCCAUCCUUCAUCCGGAUGCACCUUGAGCGCUCCGUGUCCAGCCAGCAGCGGCAAUCCUGCUACCUCAUCACCCCGCAUUUGCUGGAUCAUGCCAGCAAUGAUCUAUGGCCGAAGACAUUCUCAAACAACAUCCGCUUCUACAGAUGGCAGCACGAGAGUUGUCAAGCCAGCGCCAGUCUAGUGGACCUGCUUACUUUGCCCGAGAGCCCCCGGCGUAUGCUCGAGCCAUCCUCCUUCUACCGUGGGAAUGUUGGUUUCGGUCGUGACCCUUGCACAAACAAGUACAAGGUAGUUCAGUGCUUUCGCCAUUCCACGGAUAAUGGCCUAGGGAGCUACAGCACUGGAAUGGAGGUUUUUACAAUAGGAAGCAACAUGAACAGCGGUUCUGCAGCAUGGAGGGACGCCAUGCCACCGUACCCUGUUGGUAAUUGGAGAAACGCGACUUUCUUCAAGGGGUCUCUGUUCUGGAUCCUCCGCAAGCUCCGUCAGAGGGAGCCCCCGGAGACCCGUCUACUUUGGUUCUGCCUGCAGCCUGAAACGUUUAGCUUCACCCCGCACCCUCCGUGCCCUGCGCUUGACCACCAGAACUUUGCCAUGAGUGAACUAGAUGGUGAACUGUGCCUUGCUCAAUAUGAAUCUUCACAUCGGGUCGUGAUCUGGAUGACGAGCGAUGGUGAGGAUCCGAAAUGGAACCGGCGAUACGUCCUUGAUGUGGAGCCAUGCGUCACAAUAGCUAUUUCGCAGUCUGGACUUCUUUUGAAGAGAGUGAACCAUAUCAUCUCACGGUACAACUUCCAGAAUCAGAGCGUGGAGGAUGUGGCUGGGUUGGAAGCUCUGGGGUACCAUGGACCCGGGGCGCGUACUGUGGAGUACAAGGGAGCAAACUUGUUCUUCUUCGAUAUGAUUCCGUACACAGAAAGUCUCAUUCCCCUACACCAUGCAAGAUGA